AGCUUUGCACAGUGGGAGUAUUGUAGCCAAUGAGGUUCAUCUGAGGCGUGAUUAUUACUAAUUGAAAACUUUUCCCACCAUGACGACUUGCAAUAUAGUCAUCCCUGGCAAUUUUUGACAGUCUCUAUGCAGA
ensembl:snRNA U4 U4 spliceosomal RNA